rnacentral:pre_miRNA from 1 species
UAUCGAGGUUUUCCUCGGCAGUUAACUGCAGCCGGAUUUUUUAUUCCUCGGUAGUUAACUACCGAAGGAUCAA